UACAGAGGGGGCAAGCGUUAUUCGGAAUUAUUGGGCGUAAAGGGCGCGUAGGCGGCUUGGCAAGUGGAUGGUGAAAUCCCUCGGCUUAACCGAGGAACUGCCGUCCAAACUGCUUCGCUUGAGACCAGGAGAGGUGAGUGGAAUUCCCAGUGUAGCGGUGAAAUGCGUAGAUAUUGGGAGGAACACCAGUGGCGAAGGCGGCUCACUGGACUGGUACUGACGCUGAUGCGCGAAAGCGUGGGGAGCAAACGGG
rnacentral:rRNA from 1 species